UUGGGACACGGCGGGCCAAGAACAGCACCACUGCCUCAACACCAUUUACUACCGAGG
rnacentral:tRNA from 1 species